AAGUAUAUAAUAAGGGCAGAUAUUUAAUGCUUUAUCAAACACUGGAAAACAUCACUGAAACAGAAUAGUACUUGGAAAGUUCCUGUACUUUCUUACUAUUUCACCAUCCUCCCAAAAAUGACUCACUCACUCACUCACUUUUCUGUCCCCCUUUUCAGUAUGACCCAAUAACCAUGAAGUGACAUAGUUUGUCUCAUUAUCAAAGUCCUAAUAUAUUUUUUAAGUUAUGUUCCUGAGAAAUCCCCAAAACUUGUCAUUGGUUAUAUUUGAAUGAGAAUUGAUAGAAUUUCAGGCUAGAUUUUACUUCCCUGUUUAAAGACUUAGUUGUGAGGAUGAAAUUUUCAUUUUUAUAAAGUAUUUAGGCGGCUUCUAAAGAUAUCUAAAAAUUUGAUCUCCAUGUCACAAGAAAUCCUUAGAAACUUUUCUGCAAUCCUAUGUAAUUUUUUUUGGCAUGUAGUCAAAUAGUUUUUGUGAUUAUGUUGCAUUGUCAAACUGAUAAAUAAGUAAA
rnacentral:lncRNA from 1 species